CAGCAGCAGCUGUAAGCGGCGGUCGUGUCAGUGGUGGGAACAAAGACGGUUUUGCCGAGAUGUCCUGCUGAGUUAUUCAAGGAAACAGAGGAGGUCUUCACACCACCCUCUCACUUGAUUGACAUCCUGCAACUAGUGAGGCCUGGCCACCUGACAACUUUCCCGCUCGACCCCAUCCUCUCCUCCCUUCUUCAGACCAUCUCUGGAGACCUUCUCCCAUUCCUCACUUCACUCAUCCCUUACCUCUGGCUGCGUCCCCUCUGACUUGAAAAUGGCUUGAGUUGCACCUCAAGAAACCAACACUCAACUCAUCUGACAUCAAAAACUAUAGACCUGUAUCCCUUUCUUUUCUUUCCAAAACACUUGAGCAUGCUUUCUUUGAUCAACUUUCUUGUGAUCUCUGUCAAAUCUUCUUGACCCGCACCAGUCAGGCUUCAAUAAGGGUCACGCAAACGAGACUGCUCUUCUCUGUCACGGAGGCUCUAUGCACUGCCAAAGCUGACUCUCUCCUCUAUACUCAUCUUACUAGAUCUAUCUGAUGCCUUUGACACCGUGAACCAUCAGAUCCUCCUGUCCACUCCCUCAAGGCUGGGCGCCUCAACCUGUCGUUCUCUGCAAACAUCAAAUCAGGGACCCGCUCCUGCAGGUUCAUGCUCUACAACAUCCUUAGAGUACGACCCUACCUCACACAGGAAGUGGCACAGGUCCUAAUCCAGGCACUUGUUCCGUUUCGACUACUGCAACUCACUGUCGGCUGGGCUCACCGCUUGUGCCAUCAAACCCCUGAACUUUAUCCAGAACACAACAGCCUGCCUGUUUACACUUUACUUCCCCUGAAGCAAGUACAGCAGAGUCCCUGCCCAUCUUCCGAAAACAUCUGAAACCCUACCUCAUCAAACAGUAUCUUAAAUAAUCUUCCUGUAAGUCGCUCUGGAUAAGAGCAUCUGCUAAAUGACUAAAAUGUAACAAUAUACUGUAUGACUUUAAAGAUGGUUACAUGAAAUGUAAGCUGUUGUAUUCGGUGCAUGUGACAAACUUUGAUUUGAUUUAAUUUGCUCUGUUAAUCCUACCCUUUGGAAUGACUUCAAUAGCAACAGUGAGACCUUAUCCUUCACAAUAUUGCACACUGCUAGUAGUCAGUGGCAAUAUCAAAGUUAAGCUGGGUUGGGCUUGGUUAAAACACGGGACAGUAGACCAAAGGAAUAGCUGUAGAUAUCUCCCCCCCAGUGGGAGGUGCUAUCCAGCCUACUGCUUUUUUCUGAGAGUGGAUAUAACGUUGAAUAUCUGACAUUGUUUCAAAGCUACAAAUUCAACAUAUUUUAUAGUUUGUCUGUUAAAUUGGUUACCAUAACAUUAUCCUGUGGUUGAAAUGUCACUCAAAAACAGUUGAUUACUUUUUUUCAAAUCCAAUGCAUUUCCCAAGUAGACUCCACGUCACAAUACGUUAGCAAAUUACGUUGAAACAACAUUGAUUCAACCAGUUUGUGCAGUGGGAAGGCUCUAUUCAUUUACAUGUCAUGCUGUUAUAUGCCACACUCCAUCAAGAAGGCAUGUAAUUGUUCAAAGUUAGGAGCACUCAUUUCUUCCAAGCGACUUAGGAAACGAAAGCUAAGCUGUCUUUACCAGCUGUUUACGCUUUACAAGCGGUACUCGUCUAGUCCCAGCAGCCCCAAAUCUGUCCACCAAAAUGAAGACCACGAAGAGAGGAAUUUUUUGUAUGGAGGUCAAUGAGUGUUGAAUUUGGUCAACAACAAAAAUAUUGCUAAUUUGCUAAGUGAGGAUAAUUUGAUUGAAUAAUAGUUUCAUAAUGGUUAGGUUA
ensembl:lncRNA